rnacentral:rRNA from 1 species
UACGUAGGGUGCAAGCGUUGUCCGGAAUUAUUGGGCGUAAAGAGCUCGUAGGCGGUUUGUCGCGUCUGCUGUGAAAACUCGGGGCUUAACUCCGGGCCUGCAGUGGGUACGGGCAGACUAGAGUGCGGUAGGGGAGACUGGAAUUCCUGGUGUAGCGGUGAAAUGCGCAGAUAUCAGGAGGAACACCAAUGGCGAAGGCAGCUCACUGGGACGGUAUUGACGCUGAGACGCGAAAGCGUGGGGAGCAAACAGG